AUUGAACGCUGGCGGCAUGCCUUACACAUGCAAGUCGAACGGCAGCACGGGUGCUUGCACCUGGUGGCGAGUGGCGAACGGGUGAGUAAUACAUCGGAACGUACCUUAUCGUGGGGGAUAACGCAGCGAAAGCUGUGCUAAUACCGCAUACGCCCUGAGGGGGAAAGCGGGGGAUCGCAAGACCUCGCGCGAUUAGAGCGGCCGAUGCCUGAUUAGCUUGUUGGUGGGGCAAGAGCCCACCAAGGCGACGAUCAGUAGCUGGUCUGAGAGGACCAUCGGCCACACUGGGACUGAGACGAGGCCCAGACUCCUACGGGAGGCAGCAGUGGGGAAUUUUGGACAAUGGGGGCAACCGUGAUCCAGCAAUGCCGCGUGAGUGAAGAAGGCCUUCGGGUUGUAAAGCUCUUUUGUCAGGGAAGAAACACCGGCUCUAACACAGUCCGGGAAUGACGGUACCUGAAGAAUAAGCACCGGCUAACUACGUGCCAGCAGCCGCCGUAA
rnacentral:rRNA from 1 species